CCCCUAGAUGUUCUGGGCCGCACGCGCGCUACACUGAACAGUUCAACAAGUCUUAACCUUGGCCGAUAGGUCUGGGUAAUCUUUGAACGCUGUUCGUGAUUGGGAUAGACCUUUGCAAUUAUGGGUCUUCAACGAGGAAUUCCUAGUAAACGCAAGUCAUCAGCUUGCAUUGAUUACGUCCCUGCCCUUUGUACACACCGCCCGUCGCACCUACCGAUUGAAUGGUCCGGUGAAAUCUCGGGACGGCGGCUCGGUCGCUUGCGUCCGACUGCCGAAACUUGAUUAAACCAUAUCAUUUAGAGGAAGGUGAAGUCGUAACA
rnacentral:rRNA from 1 species